UACGAGGGGUGCUAGCGUUGCUCGGAAUUAUUGGGCGUAAAGGGUAGGUAGGUGGUCUGAUUUUGUCUGGGGUGAAAGCCUUGAGCUCAACUCAAGAAGUGCCCCAGAAACGGUCAGACUAGAGUACUGGAGAGGGUCGUGGAAUUCCCGGUGUAGCGGUGAAAUGCGUAGAGAUCGGGAGGAACACCAGAGGCGAAGGCGGCGACCUGGACAGUAACUGACACUCAACUACGAAAGCGUGGGGAGCAAACAGG
rnacentral:rRNA from 1 species